rnacentral:rRNA from 1 species
UAUUUUAGUAUUUAUAUUAAGUAUAUUUAAAAUUUAGAUUCCCGCAUUCCCAGGGCGCUUGUAUCUCGCUUUGCGAGAUUAUGCGCACCUAGAGCGUACACGAUGAUACCCGAAAGAUGGUGAACUAUGCCUGGCCAGGACGAAGCCAGGGGAAACCCUGGUGGAGGUCCGCAGCGAUUCUGACGUGCAAAUCGAUCGUCAGAGCUGGGUAUAGGGGCGAAAGACCAAUCGAACCAUCUAGUAGCUGGUUCCCUCUGAAGUUUCCCUCAGGAUAGCUUGCGCUCGGUUGAGAAGAGUCUCAUCCGGUAGAGCGAAUGAUUAGAGGCAUUGGGGUCGAAACGACCUCAACCUAUUCUCAAACUCCAAAUAGAUGAGACCUCCGGCUUUCUUAAAAUUGAAGCCGUGGGAUUUGGAUCAGAGUGCCAAGUGGGCCAAUUUUGGUAAGCAGAACUGGCGA